CCCUUAGAUGUUCUGGGCAGCACGCGCGCUACAAUGGUCUUCGCAAACGCAUGCAUUCUCGAAGGAGAAUGCCAAUCUUGGAAUCUAUGCCUUGGUCGGGACAGUUGCUUGCAAUUUUUCGACUCGAACCAGGAAUUCCUUGUAAUCGUGAUUCAUCACAUCACGAUGAAUACGUCCCUGCCCUUUGUACACACCGCCCGUCGCUCCUACCGAUCGAAGAGUUAGGUGAAUUGUUUUGAUCGAUAAGAUUUGACUAUGGUCAACUCUCGUUGUGAAAUUCUGUGAAUCUGACUGUUUAGAGGAAGGAAAAGUCGUAACA
rnacentral:rRNA from 1 species